rnacentral:rRNA from 1 species
AUCGAACGCUGGCGGCAGGCCUAACACAUGCAAGUCGAACGGUAACAGGAAGCAGCUUGCUGCUUCGCUGACGAGUGGCGGACGGGUGAGUAAUGUCUGGGAAACUGCCUGAUGGAGGGGGAUAACUACUGGAAACGGUAGCUAAUACCGCAUAACGUCGCAAGACCAAAGAGGGGGACCUUAGGGCCUCUUGCCAUCGGAUGUGCCCAGAUGGGAUUAGCUAGUAGGUGGGGUAACGGCUCACCUAGGCGACGAUCCCUAGCUGGUCUGAGAGGAUGACCAGCCACACUGGAACUGAGACACGGUCCAGACUCCUACGGGAGGCAGCAGUGGGGAAUAUUGCACAAUGGGCGCAAGCCUGAUGCAGCCAUGCCGCGUGUAUGAAGAAGGCCUUCGGGUUGUAAAGUACUUUCAGCGGGGAGGAAGGGAGUAAAGUUAAUACCUUUGCUCAUUGACGUUACCCGCAGAAGAAGCACCGGCUAACUCCGUG